rnacentral:rRNA from 1 species
GAGUGAACGCUGGCGGUAGGCCUAACACAUGCAAGUCGAACGGCAGCACAGUAAGAGCUUGCUCUUACGGGUGGCGAGUGGCGGACGGGUGAGGAAUACAUCGGAAUCUACUUUUUCGUGGGGGAUAACGUAGGGAAACUUACGCUAAUACCGCAUACGACCUACGGGUGAAAGCAGGGGAUCUUCGGACCUUGCGCGAUUGAAUGAGCCGAUGUCGGAUUAGCUAGUUGGCGGGGUAAAGGCCCACCAAGGCGACGAUCCGUAGCUGGUCUGAGAGGAUGAUCAGCCACACUGGAACUGAGACACGGUCCAGACUCCUACGGGAGGCAGCAGUGGGGAAUAUUGGACAAUGGGCGCAAGCCUGAUCCAGCCAUACCGCGUGGGUGAAGAAGGCCUUCGGGUUGUAAAGCCCUUUUGUUGGGAAAGAAAAGCAGCAGGUUAAUACCCCGCUGUUCUGACGGUACCCAAAGAAGAAGCACCGGCUAACUUCGU